rnacentral:lncRNA from 1 species
UACAAAUUCCAAUUACAUCGACAAUUGAGUCUUUGGGUGUGUUCUCCAAGUCAGAGAUGGAUACAAAAUCAAACUGAACAGAUGGAAGAUGCUGGGCAUCAUCACAGGGCACAACUGAAGUCUCAUUAUUGAAUGUAAUCUCAUAAUCAUUCUUAACAGCUGUAUAUUGCUUGUUAGCAGUCUUCAAAUUGCCUUUGGUAAAAUAAUAUACCUUGUUCAGUUCAAUGAGAGGAAAGAACUUGUCUGCUUGAUCAUUGAAUGCAGUAGCUCUAAUCUCACCACUCUCAUCAACGAGCUCUAUAGAGAAGAGCUUCCCUUCACCACGGGAGUUGCUCCAUGUGCGGAUCUGCCCUUUUUGGGUAACACGAGCACAAAUGGUCCACUUAGAUUGGUAUGGAUUCAAGCUGGCAAUGGGCACUACUUUGGACUGCGUUCCUCCUGGUGUCUUCACUGAGCUGGGAGCACUGGCUUUACUAAACUGGUUUGAGGGAGCGUGGUACUUUGGAGCAGCAGAACCUGCUACUGACAAAUUGCCAUCCUGUUGCUGUGGUUUGUUAGGUGCUGCGUUGGCUGUUGGAGCUGAAGAACGUUGCUGUCCCUGCCCUUCGUUGUACGGCACCGGAUUGCCAACAGUCCCACCAACCAUAUCAGCAGUUUUCAGAACAUCUAAAUCCAUCAGUAUAACCACUCUCCUUCCAUCUUUCAAGCUGUUGACAAUGAAUCUGUUAACCUGGCAAAUACAGUGUGCUGAUAAGCGUUCCUCUUCCACGAGGGGGUUCAGCUGUGUCGCCAGCAUGAAUGAGGAGAGAGUGUUCACCCCGUCGCUCAUCAGCACUCGGUACCGUGGAGGCCCAUUUCCUGUGGCGAUAGCCCGCGUGUUAAUGACUUGCAGCACGGGCUUGUAGACGUUCUCUCCCUGCAUUAUGGCCGCGAUGGCGCCUUCGCUCAGCCGGACGCUCAUGGCUGCGCUCCGCUCUGCUCCCCGCGCUCCUCCGCUGCUGCCGCCAAAUCCUCCCGCCGCCCCGUGCCGCGCUCCUCCUUCCGGCGCG